UUAUAAUGGUGAUGUAGAGGAGGUCCCCACUGAUAAAACAACACACAUUAUUGUUCCUAGCUUGGAGGGAAGCAAGUUGCCAUGGAAUACACACAAGGCCACAGUACUCUCAUUGAAAUGGUUGGAAGAUAGUUUAAAUGAAGGAUAUCUGUUACAAACAGUGAAAUACAUCAUUUAAUACUCAGCCCUCACUUUAUUGAAAGUUCACUAUUGCAAGCCUGCAGCCUUAAGAUAUUCACUGACUCCUCGAGUUCAUAGCAUGGAUAGUCAAGCAAGAGUUCAAGUACAGGCUAAGAUCAGAAAUCUUUUUCAAAACAAGCCUGCACAUGGCCAUGGUAUCUCACCAUCAUUUCGUGAUUUUCAUCCAGCCAGUGGAAUAGAGUUGCAGAAAAUGAUGCUCAAGUUGGUCCAGGCGGCCUCAGAGGCCGCUGCCGUAGCUUUUCGCUCGCUUGUUUGUUUUACAGCCAUCGGAAGCUGAGAAACAUGAUUCGUUGGAGGCCGCCAUUGAAGUAGCAGAAAC